UAAACGCUUUCGUUUGUUUUUCAAAUAUGCACCGGCUCGAUUCUGAUUCAGCACGGAAGAGAGCAUGUGGCUUCCACCAGCUUGCUACGAUUCGCCUGGCCGAUGAUCAGACAGUAGAAACUUCACUUUUCACUCGGAGCAAAACAAAUGAUUCACUUUACAGCGAAUAAAAAAUUCAAGACUCCUUUAUAAAAGGAAUAUCAAAAAUAUUAAAUUGAAGAGAGGAUAAAUGAAAAUUAAUACCCCAGAGACGAGGCGGUAACAGAGAAACGUAAUCGUGGCAGAUUAUAUCGAGUCCCAGCUGUUCACCUCCGUCGGUAUAAUCCAUUCCCUGACUUUCCUCGUUCUACAGUUACUUCAGGGUGAAAGGUGAACCCUCUCCCUUCUCCACGCGAGGAUCCGCGGUUAUAUGUACUUGUCAGAAGCUAUUACAACAUCCAGGCUCCGUUUUGCCUCGAUCAUCGAGGAUUAAUCCUUGAAAAAAGGAAUCCUUAAUUGAAUGACCAUUUUGGAAGGCACUUUCUGAAUCUAAAAGUGGCUGCGUUUACUGUUCAAGACAGCAAUUGUUCUCGUACCAAGAACUCCACGUUUGACCAAAUGAAAUAAGGCCAAGGGAAAUCGUACACCAAAAUCAUGCUAACAAAGGGAAACAUCUGUUUACUGGAAUCGUAUCUAAUCUCAAUCAUCAUGCCCCGCACGUAUAUACCUGUUCAUUAUUUUCUGGUGCCCUCGACGCGAGUUACCGCGACAAAAGUGACAUCAUAUUCUCUUCACGAACCAGUUCUCAUUGACUUUAAUACCGGUUUUCUUCGGUGGAGGCUUUGAGACGGUCCCAGCACACGCGUCAACUCGGGUCGUAACCUUAAGACGAGUUCACAGGAAACGGGAGUACAAUGAAUGGCGCGUGCCAAAAUACAUACUAAGGGAGCGAAAUAGCUCGGGGCUUAAUUAAAUUCGUCUAGACACCUACGAUGGAGUGAUCAACUUUGGGCGACGGACGCAGGAGAAAGAGAAGAAGAGGAGGGUCGGCUUUUCUCUUAUGUAAUAGAGACUGAAGUUUCUGCUCGGUGUAGCAUGCAUACAAGCCGCCUCGCUACUUCCAAGCAAAACGAAAGAGGCAUUGUCUCUUCACGUGUUCGGCCGAGUUAUCCUCUUUUGUGACCUCCUAAACGAGCUCCAACUUUUGAACGAGUCUCGUUCACGUUGAGUCUCGUUUAAAAAUGAAAAAUUGUAUACGAGAUCAACCUGUGACAAUUCCAGAGUUCAUUGCACCGUGUACCACUUUAAACGUUAUUUAUAUAACUUGAAAGAACUCUUCAAUUAAUUUUCAAACUCAUAGUUCUCAUAUUCAGCGAUGAUUCAUGAUGAAUUACUCAAUCGAAGUUGCCUAUCUAACUGAGAAUCAGCAGAAACAAUUAAAAACAAGUAGAAAAAUCUGAAACUUUCCUUGAGGUUCCAAGAUAAUCGGAAUAAUCGAAAGUGAAGGUUUAACAAGUUGAACUGCAGCCUUUCCAAAGUUGUAUUCACGCAUCGAUGCCAGCCAAAACCCGGAAGGUCCGCUUGGAAACCAGUUCGUCACAGCGGUGCUUAUCGAUUAUCUUCUUAUAUCGUGAAAUCCAGCGUGUCAAAAUCUACCCGUCGUUACUAAUUGCAAUCGAUAAUUACAUAAGCCGCACUCGUUAAUUUUUACAACUUCUAUCAUUUGUUUUAAGCCUCGAUAAAGUGGUCAAAUUGAACUCGACGCGUGGCAACGAGCUACGUUACUUCUCUCGGAAGCGUUUCGCGAUAAUUUCCUUCUCAUCGCGAUGUUGCCCAAGCAGGGUCGGAAAUAAGGUUGAAGAACCACGUUCGUGUCGUCUAAGCAUCAACGAAUGAAAUUUUUUCUGACGUAACACCAUUACGAAACGAUCAUCGCGCAGAUAACUACAAAAUACGUGUGGGAGCAUGUGCAUUAUUAUAUUUUUGUUGUUAUUGCGACAGCUUUCCAUUACAAAUCAGCUAAUGCUGGAUAAACCGCUGUUGCAAGUACGAUGCAUAUCAAAGUGGAACUAAUUAUCGAAUUUCUAAAUAUUAAACUUAAUUCUAAUCGAUUUAAUUUCGUCGAUCUGAUGCAACGAGGGCGUUGGACUUUUUAGUUGCAAUAAUUAAUGACGAAAGUAACGCAUUAUUUAUGAAACGCAGGCCACUGUAAUAAGCCCCGAGGAGAAACUACUCGUCCACGAUACACGCUGUUUUCUAUAGCCGACGAUUUAAUGCCGACGUCCUCGAUUUAACGAGAAAGAACAAUGCUGUGAAGAAAAAUGUGCGUUUGCGAUUUGCCGCGGAGAGAUACGCGAGUUGCUGAUGAAGCGGAGUGAUGAUCUAUAUUCGAAAAAAUCAUUCCUCAGGGGAAUAACGUAACUGCUUCUGAUUUAACGUGAAAAGAUUUUAUACUCCUCGAUAAAAAGUUAAUUCAUGCGGCUUGAGAUUCAAUCAGUUAAAAAGUUGUUUUGUCAAAUUUAUUAAUAUAUCUUACAUCACUUCUCACAGGCAAAUAUGUUUAAAGUUGAGUUUUAUGUAGGAGACAAUAGAGAAUAUCAAUUAUGAAGCAAAGUAUAAAAAUGUAGAAUUUAUGUGAAGUUAACGAGGAAUUCAUUGGCACGUUUUCCAUAGCUUCACGCUUUUACGCAUCAUCGAGUUUUAUUAGUCCAUCUUAGUCCUUUCUCUUCAGCAGUGCAUGAAAUAUAAUUUAAUUGCGCGUAAUGAAAAUUUAAUGCCACUGAAAAGGAAUUUCUCCAUUACUCUUUCCUAAUAGGAAUCUUUUUCUCAGGAUCUCUAACGAUGAAAAAAUAUCAGCGAAAAGCGAUAAAGGUCUACAGAUUUCUAACGAGUCGCGUUCUCAUGGAAUUUCUGUUAUCGAGAGGGUGCGAUGGCAGUAAGAAGUUAUCGACUAAUUAGAAUCAAAUGCAGGAAUAAUAGAAAGCACAAUGGCGGAAAGUGAAUGAAUCUGGGCGUUAAUUCGAUCUGAAGAAAAAGACCCUCCGGUGGAGGAAGUUGCGGUCGAAUGAAUCGGACCUUGGGAAGAGUCUUUCUGAGCAGACGCUCAAAAAGCGUUCGCGCGCCGUUGAGAAGUCUCCUUUGUAGAAAUACCGUUCGACCACCAAGCAAGUAACAAGAUCUCGCCUCACGGAACUCUGAUUUCACGAGCGAUGUAUGACAAGAAACUGCAGUGGACCAAUCUCGCCAAUCCAGAACUUCCGGUUCUAUGCUCGCAAAAACUGCUGGUGAACCGAUACUCACUUUCUGAAUUCGAUGCUGUAACCAGGCUUUGGCGAAUACGAUAGGUCAUUGAAACCUAAUCAAAAUGUUUCGGCUGUGAUACUCUAGAUCAGACCACCAUCAGAGAUCUUCUGCAACUUCAUAACUGUUAAUGGAACCUGUACUGGAUACUGGAUGCUGCGCGAACCGUUAUACAACCUACAGCAUACGGCGGUCUUCGCUCGCCCAGAUUCCCGUUGUCCUGUCCUCGUGUCAUUCUGUUCUCCAAGGAGCAGCUAAUAGGAAAUCAUAAGCUCAAUGCACUUGUUUUAUGGAAACUUUAGAGGGUAUUUAUAACUCGAGCCCCCUUUCACUAUUCAUCGUUUUACCGAAACCCUUUUAGUGAAAAAGAAUGGAAGGCUGUGACGCGAUUUAUGAGCGGAUUUGUAGCUUCCGGAUGUAACAUGCUCUCAACAUUCCAGCACGUGUGCUAAUAUUAACAUCGAAGAAUAAUACAAUAAAGUAGUUAAAAGUGACCUUCUAUAAAAAAAAAGUCAGAACCAGGUGUCCAUCAGAUAUUCGCAGGAUGCAUUUAUCCUUUACGAGAGAACCGAGCAUACGCAGCAGUUACGAUGAAGUCACAGAGUAGGGGUUCUCGCUGUCCAAGGUGAUCCAGUGCGAAAGCGAGAGGUCCUCCGCGGGAAAAAAGACCGUCGACAAAUUCCCGAAGAGAGAAAAAGAAACACGGAAUAGGAGAAAUAAGGGGGUCAGUUAGGAGCCGAUACAAACAGGCAACCAUGGUUAAGAUCAGGGUCAAGUUGAGCUUCCUUGCCAAGAGACCGAUGGCGAUUUACUCUUGUUGCUGGCGCCGUAACGCUGCGUUCGUUUCUGCCACGAAAAUAGUUCGGCAAGAAAAAGAAGAGGAAGGAUAAAGGCAACGGCGGCUUGGCCGGAUGAAAGGCUGGCCUGAAAACGAGACACGGAUAAAACAACGAACAAGGGGAGAAAAAUCGAAAUAAACGCGGAGUCGAAUCACGUUUUGUUUGGAGAUCCUCGCAAAUGGCAUAACAAGGAUCAAACUUCUCUCACGUGAUACAGUUUGUGGCGGCGCGGAAUUACGAAAUAGCUAGCGGGUUGCCCAAGAUACACUGUGUCCGGUAGUUUCUCUUUGUUCCACUGGCUGCCUCCUGGAUAACCGGCUAUCCGCAUCUGUAUACAUACAUUCUCGCAUUGCACCGUAAUUACACGCUGCUCGUUGCCUUUUUUCUCUCUCGAGAAUCGCUGAUCCAUUUAAUCCGUUAGAAUUAUUCUCCGUCAAAUUUGUAUAUUAGUAUUUAUUCAACAGUGAAUCGGACAACGGUGUUCAAGAAGGAAACAGCGUUGCAAACACACAAUCGAAGAUUCCACGUCUCUUCGUACAAAAGAAAGUCAACGGAUGACUCGACGAUCAAGGUGAUCAACAGUUGUUGAUAAAAAGGAAUUCCACCAAAGAUUUUCUUCUUUUUUUUUAAUUAAUCGAACACGGAACAAUCACGAUUGUUGUAAAUCCUCGAUUGCUCAAUGAACGGGGAAUUGAUUCCGCAGUGCUGCAAUGAUUUCGUUGUCACGAUUUCUCUUCUAUCCAUGAGAUGCUUUCAACCAAUUAAUGCGGGUCUCAAUGUAUCGUAAACAAAGAAGAUUCCGCAAAAUCCGAUAGAUCAUUUCCAUUCAUUCUAUUAAUUGUACUUGAACUGCAAGAAUUCUAUUAAGUAUGCGUUAUACAGAAG
rnacentral:lncRNA from 1 species